rnacentral:rRNA from 1 species
UACGUAGGGACCAAGCGUUGUUCGGAUUUACUGGGCGUAAAGGGCGCGUAGGCGGCGCGGUAAGUCACUUGUGAAAUCUCCGAGCUUAACUCGGAACGGUCAGGUGAUACUGAUCUGCUAGAGUGCGGAAGGGGCAAUCGGAAUUCUUGGUGUAGCGGUGAAAUGCGUAGAUAUCAAGAGGAACACCUGAGGUGAAGACGGGUUGCUGGGCCGACACUGACGCUGAGGCGCGAAAGCAUGGGGAGCGAACGGG